rnacentral:misc_RNA from 1 species
GAACUGCGAUAAGUAAUGUGAAUUGCAGAAUUCAGUGAAUCAUCGAGUCUUUGAACGCACAUUGCGCCCCCUGGCAUUCCGGGGCAUGCCUGUCCGAGCGUCAUUGCUGCCCUUCAAGCCCGGCUUGUGUGUUGGGUCGUCGUCCCCCCCGGGGGACGGACCCGAAAGGCAGCGGCGGCACCGUGUCCGGUCCUCGAGCGUAUGGGGCUUUGUCACCCGCUCGAUUAGGACCGGCCGGGCGCCCGCCGGCGUCAAACCCCAAUCUUUCUAAGGUUGACCUCGGAUCAGGUAGGGAUACCCGCUGAACUUAAGC